ACUCCGUCUACCCAGUGUUUAGACUACCUGUUCAGGACUCCCAAAUUGUACAGUAGUCUGCACAUUGGUUAGGCUGGGCU
rfam:Mesocricetus auratus contig198751, whole genome shotgun sequence.